GGACUACCAGGGUUUCUAAUCCCGUUUGCUCCCCUGGCCUUCGUGCCUCAGUGUCAGUAACUGUCCAGAGAUCCGCCUUCGCCACUGGUCUUCCUUACGAUAUCUACGCAUUUCACUGCUACACCGUAAAUUCCAAUCUCCUCUCCAGUACUCGAGCAAGGCAGUAUUGAAUGCAGUUCUGGAGUUAAGCUCCAGGAUUUCACAUCCAACUUGCCCCGCCACCUACGCACCCUUUACGCCCAAUGAAUCCGAACAACGCUUGAGACCUCUGUAUUACCGCGGCUGCUGGCAC
rnacentral:rRNA from 1 species